AACUCUGUUACCAUGAUCUUAAAAAAAUCCCAUCAUUUAAAGCAGAGUUUAGCUCCAGCCCUAAUUAAACACACCUGAACUUGCUAAUUAAGGUCUUACUAGGCAUGCUAGAAACUUGAUGUGUGUUGGGGCAAGUUGGAGCUAAACUCUUCAGGACACCGGCCCUCCAGGACCGAGUUUGGAGACCCCUGAUUUAAAGGAAGGUCACCAAAAAAGUAACAUUUAUUAUUUGUUUGAGAAAGAAUACUAGGCUGUUUUUUAAUACAAUUCAAAUAUAUUUUAAUUUCACUUUUAAAUACAUAUCAUGACACAUUACUUGUAAUAGGCUCAUAUUUAACUGUAUUUUCCACAAGCCUUUCAACAUUGUAUUAUUUGAAUGCAUCAUCAAAAAAAUCAAAAAAAUGCUUAAAAUCCCUAUUUAUUUAAUUGUUUAUGUGCCUAAAUUCAAACAAGCUCAACCUACCACAUUAUGCGCGAAAACAAACCUCAUUGGCUUUUGUGGAAGCUCAGGCAUGUUUGCUUGGCACUUGUUACAAAACCUGAUUGGUUCUGGAGCCCCACAAAAGCACGUCUGAGCUUCCGUUUACCAGUUCUGCUGUGGGUGUGUAUGUGCGUCGAUGGAUGUGAAUAAAAGUCUAAAUUAAAGCUGUUAAGUCAUAUAGAGUGAUCAUGUCUCUUCAGAGAACUUGGAAGAAACCACUCGAUUCGUAUGGAUUAUUUCUGCGAUGUUUUUGUCGGUGAUGACCUUUUUGAAACGUGAACAUUUUCGGUGUCUUUCAGCGGAAGGACAUAAAUCUGUCAGAUUUCAUUAAAAUAUCUCAGUUUUGGUUUUAAAGAUGAACAAAAGUCUCAAACGGUUUGGAACAACAUGAAGGUGAGUACUUGAUUACAGAAUUUAGAACUAAACUGUUUAAUUUAAUAGAACAUUUACAGUUAUAUAUUAUUUUUCCCCAGCUUCUUAAAACGUAUGUGUGUAGAUUUGGAACCUCAGUAUUUCGUGACUCUAGGUAAGUAUUUCAUUUCUGUUACUUGUCAUUACCAGUUGAAAUUUUGUUUGUUUGUUUGUUUGUUUUUUUAAUGGCAGUAACGUAACUACAUUAAAUUUUACCAAUCAGAGCCAAGCUUUUCAAAUCAGCUUUGCAGGUAAUAGUCCAAUAACAAAGCCAUAUGCUGUUGAGAUGGUAACACGUUUUUAGCUGAAAUCAACCUGAUUUCACUUAAUUUUAUUUUCCUGACUAGAAAACCAUGCCAGCUCUUGCCUCCCACAAACAACUUAAUAGGUGUUUAAAAGGUGCGUCUGCUAAGUCGAAGCAGACAGGGACAGAUGAAGAUAUUGCCCGCAGAAAUAUAGAUUAUUGGUGAUCGGCUGCUGUUUCAAUAGAAGACAAAUUGAAAUCAGAUCAGAGAGAUGAGCAAAGAAGAGACUGGUAAGUAUGUUUUAAUCUCAUGUCAGUGAAUCUCACAGGUUUAAUUCUGACUGACAUAUUUCUUAAUAAAGUAACUAUUGGGACUCUAUACUAACUUUGGAUUCAGUACUUCUGUUGUAGAGAUGUUGGACCUCUUCUAUCCUUAUGUUCAAUGUAACACAAGAGUAUUGUGUUGUGACGACAGACGAGAGGAUAAAAACGGAUGCUCAUGGCAAGCUUGAUGAGGAUUUAGUCCAAGCUUUGAAAGACCCUGUGAAAUUUUUAAAGACCACAGUGUCUGAAUUACAAGCCCCCAGAUGUAGAAAAUGCAACACAUUAUACUCAAAGAAAAGUGACCCUGCACUUGAAGAUGAAGUUGGUGAAAUUUCAAAUUUUCUGUUUCUUUGUUUAGUUUUGCCAUUUGCAUUUGUAAAAAAUGCACUUUAUUCACUUCUGCACUUUAUUUUUUUUUUGGUAACUUCUUUGUGUGUGUGUGUGUGUGU